rnacentral:hammerhead_ribozyme from 1 species
AUCCAGCUGACAAUUCCCAAAUAGGACGAAACGCGCGUCCUGGAU